CCUACGGGAGGCAGCAGUGAGGAAUAUUGGUCAAUGGGCGCGAGCCUGAACCAGCCAAGUAGCGUGAAGGAUGACUGCCCUACGGGUUGUAAACUUCUUUUAUAAAGGAAUAAAGUGAGUCACGUGUGCCUUUUUGUAUGUACUUUAUGAAUAAAGAUCGGCUAACUCCGUGCCAGCAGCAGCGGUAAUACGGAGGUUACGAUCGUUAUCCGAUUUAUUGGGUUUAAAGGGAGCGUAGAUGGGUUGUUAAGUCAGUUGUGAAAGUUUGCGGCUCAACCGUAAAAUUGCAAUUGAUACUGGCAGUCUUGAGUACAGUUGAGGUAGGCGGAAUUCGUGGUGUAGCGGUGAAAUGCUUAGAUAUCACGAAGAACUCCGAUUGCGAAGGCAGCUUACUAAACUGCCACUGACAUUGAUGCUCGAAAGUGUGGGUAGCAAACAGGAUUAGAUACCCUUGUAGUC
rnacentral:rRNA from 1 species